GAUAAUCAUGUUUAAAAACUCUUUUCAACUCUUAUUUUUCAGAAAAUAAUAUUGCGGAUCAGAUUGCUCUGAGCGCUUGUGUUGGUUACCAAGAAAAUGCAGCCCUGUUGGUUUUUAUUUCUGUAUCGCAUCGCGACUAUUAAUUACAAGCACAGCAUCAUCAACAGUGAUUUCAAGGAGAACUACUGCAAUCCCUGCGAUUUUUCCUCUUGGUAAAUGCGUUCUGGUCGUGACCGAGGGUGGUCUCCCAUAUCAGCCGGGAAUAAGGCUAUUGUUGCAGAACAAAACGC